rnacentral:rRNA from 1 species
GAUGAACGCUGGCGGCGUGCUUAACACAUGCAAGUCGAACGAAGCACUUAAGUGAAUUUCUUCGGAAUGAAGCUUUUGUGACUGAGUGGCGGACGGGUGAGUAACGCGUGGGUAACCUGCCUCAUACAGGGGGAUAACAGUUAGAAAUGACUGCUAAUACCGCAUAAGCGCACAGCUUCGCAUGAAGCGGUGUGAAAAACUCCGGUGGUAUGAGAUGGACCCGCGUCUGAUUAGCUGGUUGGUGGGGUAACGGCUCACCAAGGCGACGAUCAGUAGCCGGACUGAGAGGUUGAACGGCCACAUUGGGACUGAGACACGGCCCAG